AAAUACAAUACCCACAUCAAUGCGUUAACUCUCCAUUUAUAUUCAGUUCACAAACUGAUCAACCCAGAGAACUACCACUCCUCCACCCUCAUUCCAGCCCUGACCCUUCACACUACUCCCAAGUAUGGAACCUCCAGCUGCAGAAGAAGCUUUUUUUUUUUCUUUUUAGGGCCACACCUGCAGCAAUAUGGACAUUCCUGGGCUAGGGGUCCAAUGGGAGCUGCAGCUGCCGGCCACAGCCACAGCCACAGCCAUGUGGGAUCCAAGCUACGUCUGCGACCUACACCACAGCUCAUGGUGGACCCUUAACCCACUGAGGGAGGCCAGGGUUUGAACCUGAACCCUCAUGGUUACUAAUCCAGUUCGUUACCACUGCACCACAAUGGGAACUCCCAGAAAAUCUUUACAGAGAUGGAUGGAACUCCUGAGAGAACGUGGAAAGAAAGAAGCCAUAAAACGCAGACACUUUUAACCACAGAGGCAAACUCCAAGCAAACAAGGCUGGGGCUCUCCUGUCCAAAAAAGGUGGCCUUCCAAGCCUCUCAUAUAGUUUACUCGCCUUUAUUUUACUAUUUUAUUCAUUAAGAUAAGACUACUGCCAGCCAUAAUCUGCUGCCUUGAAGAAAUGAGAGUUUUGACUGAGGAUGGUCAAAAGGGAAAGAAAGGUAAAAUUAAGUUUAGAAAAUAAAGUACCAGAGGGACAGCAGCGAAGGGGAACUGCAGUGAGGAAAGCACAUUAAAGAAUCAUAAUGCGGUGUUCCCAUCAUGGCUCAGUGGUUAACGAAUCUAACUAGGAACCAUGAGGUUGUGGGUUCAAUCCCUGGCCUCGCUCAAUGGGUUAAGGAUCCGGUGUUGCCCUGAGCUGUGGUGUAGGCCAGUGGUUACAGCUCUGAUUAGACCCCUAGCCUGGGAACCUCCCUAUGCCAUGGGUGUGGCCCUAGAAAAGACCAAAAAUAGAAAAGUAAAUAAAAAAAAAUAAAAACUGCCUAGAUAAAGGAAUACAGACAGAGGUGGUGACACAGCCAACGUGGAAACUGGUUUACUUUUUUAAAUCUGCCAGGAGGACCCAGGAAAGGAAAGAGACUAUUUCCUUUUCCCUCUUUUUGUUACCUAGUGGCAACUUGCUCUCACGCCCCAGAGUUCAACCUAGUAUGAACAGUACUAGAAUUUGGCUUCAGCUUAAGAUAAGCGGCCUUUUGUGCAGUAGCCUGAAACCUGCUUGCUGCAGCACCUCCUCACUGCGGCCUCCUAGGACCACCUCCCCAUCCAAGCUCACCCGCUGUGCUCCAGCCUCACCAGGCUUCUUUCUGUUCCUUGAACAGGCCAACCUGUUCUGACCUCAGGACCUCUGGACUGGCCGUUCCCUCUACCAAGAACAGUCUUCUUUACAUCGCCCUGGAUUCAGAAUAAAUCUCACCUCUUUUUUUUUGGGGGGGGGCUUUCCUGACCCUAACCAAUGUUGUCCCACCUGCCACCCACAAAACUCUGCUGCAACGCUCUAUUUUUAUUGAAGCCACUGCCCAUUUUAUUUCCCUCCUAGCGACUCAGGCCUAUCAGACAUGUCGUUCAUCCGUUUGCUUGUGGAUCACCUGCCUUCCUCCCUACAGGAGAGGUUUUCACGAAAGCAGGCAUGCAAUUGCUUGCUCCCUGCUCUCUGCUCCAAUGCACCAUGCACGAGCAGGCGGCAGGCACUCCAUGAGACUGGCUGUCCCAAAAAGAACUGAAACAAACUGAAACAAACAUAUGGGACGUGUCUUUUAAUUUAGAGAUUUCUCCAUUAUAAAAAGCAAUCAAAGGCAUAUAUAAGGCAAAUACAAUGAAAGAUUCCAGGUAAACAUUUAUGGUUUUAACAUCCAGAAUUGAGUCUCUACAACUGUUUUAAACGUACUGGGAUCUGUCUUUUACUGAAGAAGCAGAACACAACCCUGGUUCCUGAGGGGCACCAAUCACAGCCCAGUCUGAAAGUGAUUUUUUUUAAAAAAAAACACCUAAAUGAGGUCAUUUUAGUUAUUUUAAAAACAGGAUCCUAUAGUGACAACAUAAGCUUUGGGGUAGGGGACUUCCCAGAGAUACAAGAACAAAGGAGUGAGAGAUGUGUGUCUGGGAGUUCCCGCUGUGGUGCAGUAGGUUAAAGAUCCAGCUUGUCUCUGCAGAAAUGAGGGUUCGAUCUCCAGCCCUGCACCAUGGGUUAAGGAUCUUACAUUGCUGCAAGUGGGACACCGGUUGCAAACUGUGGCUUGGAUUUGAUUCCCGGCCGGGGUGGGGGCGGGGGCGCAACCAGAAAAAAAAAAAAGUGUGUCACCUUGAUGGAUGGGACUCACGUCGGAUUCCUCUUACCUCCCAAAUGCCUAGCACACCACAGGCCUUCAAUAAACACCAAAGAGAUGCAUGAACGAUACUCCGUUAUUGCUCAAAAUGAAGCAAACUCUGAGCUUUCUUGUCUGCGAAGCAGCCAUUUUCCUAAGUGAUAACCGGCUAAGCGGGGGAACUAACACUUUCCACGUACGACACUGUCGACGACUAAUGAGAGACACUGCGUGAAACACAAACCUGCCUACACUGCACACACACACAGACACGGGUUCGACGGCACAUUAAACGUGGGAAGUUCGGGUCCCAAUGCUGCUGUUCCCCCAAACUAAAAACCCUUUUCUCUUCGACAGGCUAUAUGCCGAACAACAGAACUGCGUUGCUCUUCCAAAUGUGAGCCAAAAGGCAGACACGAGACAGAGCUUUCACCGGGUGGCACCAAACAUACUGUUUAAGAUGCAGGGGUGGCCGCAUGUUACCAUUUUUACAAUUGUCCUUAUGUCAGUUAAUUGCUCAUAAGAGCAAACAGCACCCUGCCACGUGUUCAUAACCACAUGUUCCGUGGCUGUUUUAAUAAGAACUGGCUUGGAUUUAUAGCAAAAUAACUUUACUUGGGACUUUCUGCCAAAACCUUAUCUGAUAAACGUCCCCCACACACGGACAUCUGGGAACGGCAUUCAGAGGCCCCGCUCUGCGAGGACAUGGAGGAGAUGUUUUCAAGGGCAAGAGAGAGCUUCAAAAGAAGCAAUUACUUUUCAAGUCCGAUCAAUAGCACAGAGCAUGAACUGUAAAAUGCCUCUUAAAAACUCCUUUCAGGCUGAGGUGAAGUGACAUUUACAGCAAUAGCAAGAACAAAACGCUUAUAAACAAGCUGGUGGUACUCCGGCUAAGUAGGUGGCACCAACAUAAAACUCUCUGUUUGUAUCUACGUAUCUAGGUAGAAGGAGGUUAUCAGCAGAUUCAUCUCUAGUCCUCUUCCUGUAUGAACGUCUUGUGCUAUUGUACUGGCUCUCUUAUUUUAAGCAACGCCAUGUAAUGGGAGUUUCUGCAAGCUGCUGAGAUUGGCAGCUGUACAAACACCCUUUUCCACUUUCUGUUUUACCCCCAGAAGAAAAAAAAAAUUCAUUCUUCUGAAAUGUAUGGAGAGGACUGCCAAUCUACAAUGCUGCCAUGGAAGCUACAAACACAACCGUGGUCGCUGUCAUAGCAGGUACUAAUUAUGAAACGUUCUCUCUGCGCCAGGUGCUGUGCUGAGCGUGAGGCAUCUAGUAUCUCACGCGACCCUUACGACUCCGUGAAGAAGGCAGACUCUUCUCAGGUACAGAUGAAGGAACUGGAACGUGGAGCGUUCAAAGUACUUGUUUGAGGCAGCACAGCUAAAAAUAAGUGGCAGAACUGGGAAUCACACAUCCACUUUCCCUAACUCUAAACCAAGCCCUUAUCUGCCACGUUAAACUUUUUCUUGCUCUUGUGACCUCCUGAAGGGGAAGUCAGCCCCUCUUGAGAAAGGGGGGAAAAAAGGCAAUCGCCUGGAUUCAUACGAGAAUGUGGCCUGUGCCUGUGUCUAGAGAGAGUAGUGUAUUUAAACUCAAGAUUCAACUGAGGUGGGCUUAGGCUGGGAUGCCUUCGGCAGGGAGCUGAAUGUGUGCUAUGAUUAGAAGGAGGCCUGCGAUCAAACAAUGAAGACACAUGCGGGUACCAGAGGCAUGCUCUUCGGAGCAUCUCCCUGCAACCUUUUCCCCACACGAAUAAGGUGUCCCUGUCCGGAACCAAUCAGAGGAUCCAAACUCGCCCCUUAUGCACACAUGGCGCAGGAGGGUUGGGACAGGAAAAUAGUGGGCAUAGGGCAAGAGAAGAGCGAACCAAACAGGUGUAAUAAUAGGAGUACAAGGAGAGGCCCAGGUGCAGCCAGGGCCAGUCCCUGCCCAGGGCGGCCCGCUCUCUCUGGAGGCGAAAAUAAAACUCGCUGUGCACAGCUAUUUGACUCUUGAUUGCAACCUCUGAGGCAACUGGCAGGAGCGUUUUUCGCUCAGGGCAAUGGACCCAAACAGCUUAUUAAGAGCCCAGGUCAGGAGUUCCCAUCUUGGCUCAGCAGUUAGCGAACCUGACUAACAUCCAUGAGGUUGCGGGUUCGAUCCUGGCCUCGCUCAGUGGGUUAAGCUCAGCUCAUUGCCAUGAGCUGUGGUGUAGGUCGCAGCCGUGGAUCAGAUCUGGCAUGGCUGUGGCUACAGUGUAGGCCGACAGCAACAGCUCCAAUUCAACCCCUAGCCUGGGAGCCUCCAUGUGCCCCAAAAAGACAAAAGACCAAAAAAAAAAAAAAAAAAAAAAAAGGCAAAACAAAACAAGAGCCCAGCACCCCCAGCCAGAACAACCUGCUGCCAGACCGCCUGCCUCCAUCCAACCUUGUGCAACCGCACAAUGAAGCCCGCUGGCUCUACCCCGCUGCCGCGCCUCUUUGUCUGUGGGCAAGGACCGAGGGACAGAGAGCAGAGCAAGGAAACCUGACAGUUGGAGUCGCAAUUAAAAUACACAUAAGACCCCAAACUGACAUAAGCACCACUUGCUCAGGCACAGGGCUAUGUUGGGUGGGGAGACAGGACAGCCAGGAGGCUUUCCAUGGGUGCUGGAUCUUGAGAUGAGCCUUGAGGGAGCCAGGAGAGCGAGGGGAGCAGGCAGGCAGAGGACAGGAGGGCAGGUGGGCCAUGCAUACCAGACGUUUGCAGAGAUGAAGCCAGAGGCCAGAAAGUAGCAUAACUAAAGCUGCAUGUUUACUUCAUGCCAGGCCUUGCACUAAAGCACCUGGCUGUCCAACAACCCACUGAGCUUGGCAUCCUGAUGCCAUCUUGGGGGUGAGACCACUAAGGCACAGGAGAGGGCAGUGACUAGGAUGAGGCUGCCCAGUGAAGCGGUGGGGCUGGAGCUGAGGCUCAGGCCAUCCCAUCCCAAAGCCCACAGCGACCCCAGUGCCACAUGGUCUCGCGGGGUCAGCAAGCUCCUGAGGGCAGAAUGGGGUUACAGAGACAAGUGGCAUGACAGAAAAUCACCUUCCGUUUACACGAAAAGUACGGCGAAGGGGCCCUGAGACUGAGGCUGAUCAGUUGCUAAGAAGCAGCGUUUUCUCUGCCUCCAGCCUUUUCCGCCUAGCUGAUGGCACCUCUGCCCUGCUCCAAGCCACCCUUCACAAGCCUUGGCAUUCCAAAACAGGAGGGUGAAAUCUACUUGGGACAGGUGAGCCACAGCGAACCAGAAAUUUCACCUUUCCCCACCACUCCUCCGGGCUCCUCGAGCACUGAGCCCCAGCAUCCAAAGUAUGUCCUUGCAAGUCCUUUUCUCCCCCAGGAUGGUGAGCUCUCGGAUGAGUUCAUAAUUCAUGAAUCAUCUUUGCGUAUCCUCAGGACGUAGAUGGCAGUGCUUUCUGAAUGGUGCCUUCGCUUCUCCACCAAUGCCGUGUCAUCACAUGACAGGUAUCUGCGGUGGAGCCCAGAACUCAGAGGGCCACCUUGGAUCCUUUUGGGCCAUCUGGCCUAUGGAGGGACUUGGCAGCAAGCAAGAGACUAUUAUAUCACUACCUCGGGAAUGAAGAGCAACCAAGGACUGGCAUAACGGUAUACCAU
ensembl:lncRNA